GAUCCUGGCUCAGGAUGAACUCUAGCUACAGGCUUAACACAUGCAAGUCGAGGGGCAGCAUGGUCUUAGCUUGCUAAGGCCGAUGGCGACCGGCGCACGGGUGAGUAACGCGUAUCCAACCUGCCUUACACUCUUGGACAGCCUUCUGAAAGGGAGAUUAAUACAAGAUGUUAUCAUGAGUAAGCAUUUUCGCAUGAUUAAAGGUUUACCGGNGUAAGAUGGGGAUGCGUU
rnacentral:rRNA from 1 species